AACGAACGCUGGCGGCAGGCCUAACACAUGCAAGUCGAGCGAGAUCUUCGGGUCUAGCGGCGCACGGGUGAGUAACACGUGGAUAAUCUACCCAUUGGUGUGGGAUAACAGCUGGAAACGGCUGCUUAUACCACAUACGAUCCAAGUUGACAUUCGGGUGAAAGGCGGGGCAAACUGUCGCUGAAGGAUGAGUCCGCGGUUCAGUAGGUAUUUGGGGGGGUAAAGGCCUACCAAGCCGAUGAUGAGUGGCGGGCCGGGGAGGGUGAACGGCAAAACUAGGACUGGAACACGGCCAAGACUCCUACGGGAGGCAGCAGUGGGGAAUAUUGCGCAAUGGGCGAAAGCCUGACGCAGCGACGCCGCGUGAGGGAUGAAGGCCUUCGGGUUGUAAACCUCUGUCAGAAGGGAAGAAGUGUAUGGUGAGUAACUGCUCCAUAUUUGACGGUACCUUCAGAGGAAGCACCGGCUAACUCCGUGCCAGCCGCCGCAGUAACAC
rnacentral:rRNA from 1 species